CCUACGGGUGGCAGCAGUGGGGAAUAUUGCACAAUGGGGGAAACCCUGAUGCAGCAACGCCGCGUGAAGGAAGACGGUUUUCGGAUUGUAAACUUCUGUUCUCAGUGAAGAAGAAUGACGGUAGCUAAGGAGCAAGCCACGGCUAACUACGUGCCAGCAGCCGCGGUAAUACGUAGGUGGCAAGCGUUGUCCGGAAUUACUGGGUGUAAAGGGAGCGCAGGCGGGAAGGCAAGUCAGUUGUGAAAACUACGGGCUUAACUUGUGGACUGCAUUUGAAACUGGUUGGCUGGAGUGAAGUAGAGGUAGGCGGAAUUCCGGGUGUAGCGGUGAAAUGCGUAGAUAUUCGGAGGAACACCGGUGGCGAAGGCGGCCAACUGGGC
rnacentral:rRNA from 1 species